GCCUCAGUGGUGUAGCGUUAGCACGCGUCCCAUGUAUGGAUGAAACGCGGGUUCAACUACCGUCUGAGGUC